rnacentral:tRNA from 36 species
GGAGGGGUGGCCGAGCGGCUGAAGGCACCGGUCUUGAAAACCGGCGAUGGGAAACCAUUCGAGAGUUCGAAUCUCUCCUCCUCCGCCA